rnacentral:lncRNA from 1 species
UGGUACUAUCUACCUCUGAUGUAGGGAGUAGGGUACUAUCCUGACCCCUGAGGUAGGGAGUAGGGUUUACUAUCUACCCCUGAUGUAGGGAGUAGGGUGCUAUCUUACCCCUGGAUGUAGGGAGAUAGGUUGCUCUCUACCCCCUGAUUGUAUGGUAGAGGGUACUAUCUUACCUCUGAUGAGGGAGAGUGGAUAUCUACCCCUGAUGUAGGGAGUAGGGUGCUAUUCUACCCCUGAUGUAGGGAGUAGGGUGCUAUCUACCCCUUGAUGUAGGGAGUAGGGUACUAUCUACCCCUGAUGUAGGGAGUAGGGUACUCUCUACCCCUGAUGUAGGGAUUAGGGUACUAUCUACCCCUGAUGUAGGGAGUUAGGGUGCUAUCACCCUGAGUAGGGAAGUAGGGUACAUCUACCCCUGAUGUAGGGAGUCGGGUACUAUCACCCCUGACGUUUAGGCGUAGGGUACUAUCUACCCCUGCUGUAGGGCGUCGGGGUUACUAUCUCCCCU